rnacentral:rRNA from 1 species
UACAGAGGGUGCGAGCGUUAAUCGGAAUUACUGGGCGUAAAGCGUGCGUAGACGGCUAUCUAAGUCGGGUGUGAAAGCCCCGGGCUCAACCUGGGAAUUGCAUUCGAGACUGAAUAGCUAGGGUACGGUAGAGGGAAGUGGAAUUUCCGGUGUAGCGGUGAAAUGCGUAGAUAUCAGGAGGAAUACCGAUGGCGAAGGCAGGUCUCUGGGCUGACACUGACGCUCAUGCACGAAAGCGUGGGGAGCAAACAGG